rnacentral:rRNA from 1 species
AGCAGUAGCCGCGGUAAUACGAAGGGUGCAAGCGUUAAUCGGAAUUACUGGGCGUAAAGCGCACGCAGGCGGUUUGUUAAGUCAGAUGUGAAAUCCCCGAGCUUAACUUGGGAACUGCAUUUGAAACUGGCAAGCUAGAGUCUUGUAGAGGGGGGUAGAAUUCCAGGUGUAGCGGUGAAAUGCGUAGAGAUCUGGAGGAAUACCGGUGGCGAAGGCGGCCCCCUGGACAAAGACUGACGCUCAGGUGCGAAAGCGUGGGGAGCAAACAGGUUUAGAUACCCGGGUAGUCCCUGUCUCUUAUAC